AAGAACUAGUACAGAUAACACUGAAAAUGGACAUGACAACACUGCAGCUCUGCAGUGACGCCUCACCUGAAAAUUGCAAACAGGACUUCUUUUUAAUCAAUGCAUGUGUAGAUGGUGUAUUUUUUCCAAAGAGUCCCAGGGAAUUACUAUCU